rnacentral:rRNA from 1 species
GACGAACGCUGGCGGCGUGCUUAACACAUGCAAGUCGAACGGAAAGGCCCUGCUUUUGUGGGGUGCUCGAGUGGCGAACGGGUGAGUAACACGUGAGUAACCUGCCCUUGACUUUGGGAUAACUUCAGGAAACUGGGGCUAAUACCGGAUAGGAGCUCCUGCUGCAUGGUGGGGGUUGGAAAGUUUCGGCGGUUGGGGAUGGACUCGCGGCUUAUCAGCUUGUUGGUGGGGUAGUGGCUUACCAAGGCUUUGACGGGUAGCCGGCCUGAGAGGGUGACCGGCCACAUUGGGACUGAGAUACGGCCCAGACUCCUACGGGAGGCAGCAGUGGGGAAUAUUGCACAAUGGGCGGAAGCCUGAUGAAGCAACGCCGCGUGCGGGAUGAAGGCCUUCGGGUUGUAAACCGCUUUCGCCUGUGACGAAGCAUGAGUGACGGUAAUGGGUAAAGAAGCACCGGCUAACUACGUG